rnacentral:tRNA from 1 species
GGGGGUGUGGCUCAGUGGUCGAGUGCCCCUGCAUUGAAUCCCUGGUACUCCAAACUAAAUAAAUAAAUAAAUAAUUAAAAUUAAAGAGUUUAAAUGUCCUGCUUAAUUGAGCUGAGCUGUGGCUCAGAGGUUGUCUGGUGUGUGGGAGGCCCUGGGUUCCAUCCCCAGCACCCCAA